rnacentral:rRNA from 1 species
AGUGAACGCUGGCGGUAGGCCUAACACAUGCAAGUCGAACGGCAGCACAGUAAGAGCUUGCUCUUACGGGUGGCGAGUGGCGGACGGGUGAGGAAUACAUCGGAAUCUACUUUUUCGUGGGGGAUAACUUAGGGAAACUUACGCUAAUACCGCAUACGACCUACGGGUGAAAGCAGGGGAUCUUCGGACCUUGCGCGAUUGAAUGAGCCGAUGUCGGAUUAGCUAGUUGGCGGGGUAAAGGCCCACCAAGGCGACGAUCCGUAGCUGGUCUGAGAGGAUGAUCAGACACACUGGAACUGAGACACGGUCCAGACUCCUACGGGAGGCAGCAGUGGGGAAUAUUGGACAAUGGGCGCAAGCCUGAUCCAGCCAUACCGCGUGGGUGAAGAAGGCAUUCGGGUUGUAAAGCCCUUUUGUUGGGAAAGAAAAGCAGCAGGUUAAUACCCCGCUGUUCUGACGGUACCCAAAGAAUAAGCACCGGCUAACUUCGUG